UGAGGAAUAUUGGUCAAUGGAGGAAACUCUGAACCAGCCAAGUCGUGUGAAGGAUGACGGUCCUAUGGAUUGUAAACUUCUUUAGUAGGCGAGUAAGGAUAGGUACGUGUACCUAUUAGAAAGUAGCCUAAGAAUAAGUAUCGGCUAACUCCGUGCCAGCAGCCGCGGUAAUACGUAGGAUACGAGCGUUAUCCGGAUUUAUUGGGUUUAAAGGGUGCGUAGGUGGCUGAUUAAGUCAGUGGUGAAAAGCUAUGGCUCAACCAUAGUCUUGGCGUUGAUACUGGUUAGCUUGGGUGUAGAUGAUGUAGGCGGAACGAGUAGUGUAGCGGUGAAAUGCAUAGAUAUUACGCAGAACUACGAUUGCGAAGGCAGCUUACAAAACUACUACUGACACUGAGGCACGAAAGAGUGGGUAUCAAACAGG
rnacentral:rRNA from 1 species